GGUAUUGACAUCCCAAUAUUUAGGGGGAAGUUCCCAGGUAUCGUCCGCUAGUGACAGUCUACUGGCAAAGCCAGACAUGCAUUGGAAGGAUGCUGAUAAGAAGGACACAGGAACACCUGAUCCAAGAACUGUGGCAUUUCAUUCGGAGCGAUAGCCUGGCAUUCAGUUGGUAUGACUCUUUGAGGUUGAAUGUAGGGUUAAAUCUGUAUACAUUUGGUUAACAUUCAAAUAAAUCCAGAUAAUACAUGCACAAAUGGAAUCAUGGCGUCAUGAUACAUGGAUAUGCGUGUACCAUUUUACUGUUUUUACUGCAUUACUAGGUAUCACAUACAUACAAAAAGAGACAAAAAACGGAAAAUCAUUAUUCUUUUUCUAAUUAUAAAGUAUGACAAGUUUUCUAAAUGCUGACAAAUAAGGUGUGGUGGCCAAUACUGAUUUUAUUUGCAAUUUCCUUUCAGAUAUGGGACCCGAUUAUUCAGAUAACUGCAUAUUUUAUGAAGCUGUUUUUGACAGAAGAUUUGGGUUUUCUCCAUCUGUGUUGUCACCAACCAUUAUGCUGAGAUGGUCAUAUCUAGGGGGAAGGAUUGUCAUUAUGCUUCCCAAGGAAGUUCGCAGCCUCUCACUGAAGAGGAAUUGUACAGAUUUUUGUGCAUUAUCUUAUACAUGUCUGCUGUGAAGUUCCAGUCGAUAGACAGAUAUUGGUCAAUGCAUGCCCCUAUCGGAACAACCUAGUACAGUGUAUCAAGAAUGAUGUCUAGAAAUAAGUUUAAAAGGUUGAAUAUAAGAACAUUUUUGUUAAAUAUGAUGCAAGUACAUUUAAAUCUAGUGAUUGAAACUAAGUACUUGAACAUUCGUAUACGUUGAACUUAGAGAGGAAAAAAUGGGUAGUACUUUUUGAUAACAUUUGAUAAGGUGCUGUUGCUUAGCAACCAAAUAUAUUUGAAUGCAACAAAUUAAAUUAUUUUAGAUUAACAAUAGAGAUCUUUGUUUUAAUGUUGCAAUAUUUAUUCUAAUUAGUGGAACAUAAUGGCAAAACGUCAUAUUAUUAGAAAAUGAUGGAUAUGUACAAUGUAUAUAAAGUACAAAGUUUCCAUUUUAUGACCUUUGACCUUAAUUCUCAUCAUAUUUUUUGUUAAAAACCUUUUUAAAUGAUUAAGAUUUAUUUAAAGAUUAUAUUUGUAAAAUAAUGUGACAUUUACUAAUCAUCAUUCAAUGUAAUUAUGUUUAAAUUGUGUCGAAUGUAUGCAGAAAGGCAAAUUAUGAUCAAAAUUGUACUAUGAGUGUUGUUACUUAGCAACCAAAAAUAUUUGUCAAUAAAAUUGAUUAAUUU